UCAAAAUGCAAAGCAUACCUGAAAAUGGCAACAACCACACACACAAAUGAAAACACUUACACAGUAAUUGAACACCAAUUAAUCUGAGCCUUAGCACUACAAAUAGACCUCAGGUAAGCUCACCACUUUUGUGAGAACUUUGCAAACAUGGAGGCAGUGAGAGCAAUCGGAAGAGAAAGAGGUAGAGGAAGAGGAAGAGAGAGAGAGAGAGAGAGAGAGAGGAGGAGGAGGACAAGAACAAAGAAGGGGACCAGGCAAUAGACGGACACAUAUUUCCGACGACAUUAGGUCCACUUUGGUGGACCAUGUCAUAAAUCAUGGCCUGGUAGAGAGUCCAAUCCAACCUGAGUCACAGUAGCAUCCUUAAUACAGACAUUUAGACUGGAGAACAGAACUGCCAGACGACCUCCUGAGGGUGGAAGGCAACGUCUGUUCCCCCAUGAACAGGAACUGGCCAUUGUCAAUCUAGUGUUGGCAAACAACACCAUCCGCCUACAUCAACUACGAGAGAAAAUAAACGCAAAUCACACAACAUUCCAUAAUAUCAACCGUGUCAGGAUGUCGACACUGCCGCAUCUUGCGUCAACACCAACUUACGACGAAGCAGCUGUACAGGGUUCCAUUUGAGAAGAACAGCGUGACACCUUCGCUAUGACUACGUGCAAAGAGUCCUGGACUUUGAUGCAGCUGCACAGCCUCAUGAGUUCAUUUUCAUUGAUGAAGCUAGAUUCAAUCUAGCUAAAACCAGGCAUCGGGGCCAAAAUGUUAUAGGACAAAGAGCCGUUGUGAAUGUCCCUGGGCAGCGCGGGGAAAAUGUCCCCUUGUGUGGCGCCAUUAGUCUGCAAGGAGUUCUCUAUCACAAUGCCACCCUAGGUCCCUACAAUACUGCACACAUAAUCAUAUUUCUGAAUGCAUUACAUAAUGCAGUUGUACAGGACGGACUAGAGCAGCCCAGGUUUGUUGUCAUCUGGAAUAAUAUUAGUUUCCACCGGGCUGCUCUGGUCAGGGACUGGUUCACCAACCACAAUAACUUCACAGUUGUAUACUUGCCCCCUUACUCCCCAUUUCUCAAUCUGAUUGAGGAAUUAUUUUCGGCUUGGCGUUGGAAAGUGUAUGACCGCCAAUCACACACCCCGCCUGCCUCUUCUGCAAGCAACGGAAGAGGCAUACGGAGACAUUGAGGUGGGGUCAGUCCAGGGUUGGAUACGGCAUGCAAGGAGAUAUUUUCCCUGCUGCCUGUGGAUGAGGUGAUGUGGCCAGAUCCUAACAGAAGGUGGGAUCCAUAAACCAUCCACCCCCUCCCUUACAAUACUAUUUUUUUUACCAUUGCAGUGUAAUUUUACUGUAAUUAUUUUUGUUUCUGUGAAUUUACAGUUGCAUAGUGUAUUGAUUAUUGUAUCGUAAUUCAACUUUUCUUUGCAUUUUUUGUUGUUGUUGUAAAAACCUGCAAUGGCAAAAAAAGUAAGCUUAAUAUAUUUUUUUCUGAAGCCUUUCUAUUUUUGUGUUCAUUGAAAUGUGAGUAGAUGUACUGUACUGGAACAAUCUUUCACAGAACCUGUAUGAGAAAAUGUAAAAGGUAUGCAAAGUAUUAAAGACAGCAGUGUUUUGUAUUAAGUACAUCAGUGUGUUGCUGCUUUGAAAGAGUAAUUUAAAUGGUGCAUGUGUGUAUAAUUUUGUUGCAAGAUGCCAUUUUGAAAAAGGAUUGUUAGGUUUCGAUUGCAGAGUUUCAUUUUGACAUAGAAGUGAGAUGUUUUCUCCAAGUGGUGUGUCUUAUUUGGCUUGUGUGUAGAGUUUUGACACAAUGAGCCAAUUAAAUAACAAGUGUGUAGGCAACGCAUCACUGGGGGCAAUCUACCUGCCCUCCAGGAUAACUUCAGCACCCAAUGUCACAGGAAGGCCAAAAAGGUCAUAAGGACAUCACCCACCCGAGCCAAAGCCUGCUCACCCCUCUGUCAUCCAGAAGGCGAGGUCAGUACAGGUGCAUCAAAGCUGGAACUGAGAAACUGAAAAUCUCAAGGCCAUCAGACAGUUAAAUAGCCAUCACUAGCCGGCUUCCCCCCGGUUACGCAACCCUACACCUUAGAGGCUGCUGCCCUAUAGACAUAGACUUGGAAUCACUGACUACUUUAAUAAUGGAACACUAGUUACUUUAAUAAUGUUUAAAUAAUGUUUACAUACUGCUUUAUUAAUCUAAUAUGUAUAUACUGUAUUCUGUACUACUGUAUUUUAGUCAAUGCCACUCCGACAUUGCUCAAUCUAAUAUUUAUAUAUUUCUUAAUUCCAUUCUUUUACUUUUAGAUUUGUGUGUAUUGUUGUGAAUUGUUUUUAGAUACUACUGCACUGUUAGAUACUACUGCACUGUUGGAGCAAGGAACACAAGCAUUUCGCUACACCCGCAAUAACAUCUGCUAAAUAUGUUGAUUUGAUUUGAUUUGAUUUUAGUUUGAUCAGACCAACAAAUAUUUUUAACAUCAUCUAAGCAAAAUAUAUUUUUAGACCCAGCUUUUGGAACUUUUACUUUUCUGCUAAAUUGUAAUUAUUUGCCUACCUCCUCAUGCCUUUUGCACAACAAUGUAUAUAGACUCUUCCUUUUUUUCCUACUGUGUUAUUGACUUGUUUAUUGUUUACUCCAUGUGUAACUCUGUGUUGUUGUCUGUUCACACUGCUAUGCUUUAUCUUGGCGAGGUAGCAGUUGUAAGUUAUAACAUGUUCUCAACUAACUUUAACCUGGUUAAAUAAAGGUGAAAUAAAAUAAAUAAAAAAU